AUUGAACGCUGGCGGCAGGCCUAACACAUGCAAUUCGAGCGAGCGGCUGACGAGUGAGGAAUUUAAGGGGACUGCCCGAGACAGAGGGCUAACUACUGGAAACGGUAGCUAAUACCGCAUCCCAUCGGCUAACCCAUAUGUGAUUAGCUAGUAGGUGAGGUACUGGCUCACCUCGGCGACGAUCCCUAGCUGGUCUGAGAGGAUGAUCAGCCACACUGGGACUGAGACACGGCCCAGACUCCUACGGAGGCAGCAGUGGGGAAUAUUGCACAAUGGGCGCAAGCCUGAUGCAGCCAUGCCGCGUGUAUGAAGAAGGCCCUAGGGUUGUAAAGUACUUUCAGUCGGGAGGCGUUACCGACAGAAGAAGCACCGGCUAACUCCGUGCCAGCAGCCGCGGUAAUUC
rnacentral:rRNA from 1 species